AGUGAACGCUGGCGGCAGGCCUAACACAUGCAAGUCGAACGGCAGCACGGCAGUAGCAAUACUGUGGGUGGCGAGUGGCGGACGGGUGAGGAAUACAUGGGAAUCUACCCUGUCGUGGGGGAUAACGUAGGGAAACUUACGCUAAUACCGCAUACGACCGAGAGGUGAAAGCGGCGGACCGCAAGGCGUCGCGCGAUUGGAUGAGCCCAUGUCGGAUUAGCUAGGUGGCGGGGUAAAGGCCCACCAAGGCGACGAUCCGUAGCUGGUCUGAGAGGAUGAUCAGCCACACUGGAACUGAGACACGGUCCAGACUCCUACGGGAGGCAGCAGUGGGGAAUAUUGGACAAUGGGCGCAAGCCUGAUCCAGCCAUGCCGCGUGAGUGAAGAAGGCCUUCGGGUUGUAAAGCUCUUUUGUCCGGAAAGAAAAGCUCUCGGUUAAUACCCGGGGGUGAUGACGGUACCGGAAGAAUAAGCACCGGCUAACUUCGUGCCAGCCGCCGCCGGAA
rnacentral:rRNA from 1 species